rnacentral:lncRNA from 1 species
UCUGAAUUAUCCUUAUUCUCGUUGUCAUUCUCAUUCUUUUUAAUUCUUACUCUUAUUUUAUCUUUAUUUUUAUUGCAAAUAUCUCCAGAGGACACGGGAAGAAGCAUGACUACUAUAUAUACUAUUAUACAUUAUAUAGAAGGCAACAUCAGACACAUGCAAUGAAUAUUUGUUCGUUUUAUGCCUGUGCAUUGAGAAUAAUGCAUGACCAUAAAUAUGACCAUCUAUAACUGUCCACUUGGGAAAGAAAAGAACAAAAAGGAAGCAGAUCCCUGGGUUUGAUCCCUCCUGGUCGGGCUGCAGUGCUCUGGGGCUGGAGGAGCCCUGGGGAGGUGGGUAUGGAUUUAACCUGGGCACCAACUGUGAGGUUCAUGCUGCAAAAUGCCCCUCACACAGCCCUGGGCAUCCUCCGAGCUGCCCUUGCCCCCAGGGAUCCCAAUCCUCAUGUGUGGCCCAAGGUUUGAACCCAUGAGCUGAAAUAUUACACCCUGAAAAGUCAAGAGAGUGCACCAACCUGCAGGGACCAGGGGAAGAAACUCCACAAAUUAGC